GCGCCUGUAGCUCAGGGGAUAGAGCGGCGGUUUCCUAAACCGUAGGUCGCAGGUUCGAAUCCUGCCAGGCGCGCUA
rnacentral:tRNA from 1 species